rnacentral:rRNA from 1 species
GGGCUUGACAUCCCACGAACCUGUCGAAAGGCAGGAGUGCCCGCAAGGGAGCGCGGAGACAGGUGGUGCAUGGCUGUCGUCAGCUCGUGUCGUGAGACGUUGGGUUAAGUCCCGCAACGAGCGCAACCCUUGUCCCCUGUUGCCAUCAGGUGAAGCUGGGCACUCUGGGGAGACUGCCGGUGACAAACCGGAGGAAGGUGGGGAUGACGUCAAGUCAGCAUGGCCUUUAUGUCUGGGGCCACACACGUGCUACAAUGGCCGGUACAAACCGUUGCGAGCCCGCGAGGGGGAGCUAAUCGGAGAAAACCGGUCUCAGUUCGGAUCGUAGGCUGCAACUCGCCUGCGUGAAGUUGGAAUCGCUAGUAAUCGCAGAUCAGCACGCUGCGGUGAAUACGUUCCCGGGCCUUGUACACACCGCCCGUCACAUCACGAAAGCUGGCUGUACUCGAAGUCGCUGAG